UGUGCACGAACGGCACGAGCCCUCGAGGCGCGUGACCCGAGCCGUGAUCGAGGGUGAAGGGGUGCUGAACUGGCAUUGUCGACGUGGCUCUGGGCCAGGAAGGUUGUAGCGGCAGCACCGCACUGGCGACGGGAGCCAUGGAGGUUCGUUUUAAGUCCGUGACGCCGGCAGUCCAGGGUGUGGCCGUCGACCUCGGCGACAUUCGAGCGAGGCUCCUUGGACCUGCUUCAGCCUCUCACGGCAGUGCCGGGCACUCCAAGAAGGAUCCCCCUUCAAAGGCAGACGAGCAUCGGCACUUGAGCAAGGCGCCGGACGGAAGCAGCGGCCGAACCCGUCGCUAGGCCUAACCCGCCGGGCGCCUCUGCCACGUCACCGACGGCGACCGGGACACGGGCGUCUACCAAGGUGACGACAUCGUCAGGAUCUUCGGGAGUAGCAACUCCGGAAGAGACGUGACUUGGACGAGGAUCCACAUGAGUCAGCGUCAAAAAACUGAACCGUCCAGGAUUUAUCUUGACGUCACGAGACAACAAGCGCCACAUCACGAUGGACAGAACCGCCCCACAUUUCUCUGGCUUAAAGAGCGAGACACCGGCCCAAGCGACUGAACAAAUAUGUGAAAGGGUGAGGAUUUGGUCCGGCGUGGGCAUCGCUUACAAGGCAACGCGCUGCCGCCUGGAACAUACUUAUAACCACAUCGCCAACCUGCUGGAUCAGAUGUUCGACUGGGAGGUCAGACGGAAAGAACGCCUCCUUAGAAACAUCCAAGAAUGAUGAAAUCGGGUACAAGUACAGUCCUUUCAGCUCUCGGAUGACAUGCCUGUGGGUCUGCUGAAGCAGCUUGAAGAGGCAAGGCACCAGGAACUUGCUGCCCUGCUGGACAAGCUGGCCUCACUCAUGCCACAAUGGCUGCGCUCAGGACCAAGCUCGUUGAAUACAAGGUACGGAAACAACAAUGCCUUAGGGAGUUUGCCGCUCAAGUCAAGGACGAGCUGAUCAACUGGUACACGAAGUGCUGUGUACCGAAGAGACAAGUUUACUUCGACGACAAUGAUGACUCUGAAGGUGUCAGUGAAGAACACCAGGCAAGACAGGAGCGAGCAGCACAGAUUUUUAUGCCAACAA